rnacentral:lncRNA from 1 species
UCUAAACCCACCAAACACUACACUAACUUACUUCAUCUAGCAGCAGAGAACAACAGCAGCAACAACGCCGCCACCAUGGCGGCGAUGGCGGCGACCAGCCGGAGUGUUUAAUGAAUAGGGUUUUCUUUGGAUUUGUCAUUUCUUCAUCGGUUAUUGUAACCCCGGAUCAGAUUUUAAGAAAUUGUUUUGUCUGUCACUCGCUUUUCUUGAUCUGAGAUAGAUACAAGUCCUGUAUCUAUUUGUGUGUAUGAAAUUGGGCAAUUGUGAGUUAGAUGUCUCAAUUGUCUGAACCUCAAGGCUCUUCUA